UACGUAGGGUGCAAGCGUUAAUCGGAAUUACUGGGCGUAAAGCGUACGCAGGCGGCUAUGUAAGACAGGUGUGAAAUCCCCGGGCCUAACCUGGGAACUGCAUUUGUGACUGCAUGGCUAGAGUACGGUAGAGGGGGAUGGAAUUCCGCGUGUAGCAGUGAAAUGCGUAGAUAUGCGGAGGAACACCGAUGGCGAAGGCAAUCCCCUGGACCUGUACUGACGCUCAUGCACGAAAGCGUGGGGAGCAAACAGG
rnacentral:rRNA from 1 species